rnacentral:rRNA from 1 species
CCCGCGACAAGCGAGGAACAUGUGGUUUAAUUCGAUGAUACGCGAGGAACCUUACCUGGGCUUAAAUGGGGAGGUGACAGCUGUCGAAAGAUGGUUUUCUUCGGACACUCUUCAAGGUGCUGCAUGGUUGUCGUCAGCUCGUGCCGUGAGGUGUCGGGUUAAGUCCCAUAACGAGCGCAACCCUUACCGUUAGUUACCAUCAGGUUAAGCUGGGGACUCUAGCGGGACUGCCACCGUAAGGUGAGAGGAAGGUGGGGAUGACGUCAAAUCAGCACGGCCCUUAUGUCCAGGGCUACACACGUGUUACAAUGGCCGGUACAAAGGGCAGCUACUUCGCGAGAAGAUGCUAAUCUCGAAAGCCGGUCUCAGUUCGGAUCGAAGUCUGCAACCCGACUUCGUGAAGCUGGAUUCGCUAGUAAUCGCGCAUCAGCCAUGGCGCGGUGAAUACGUUCCCGGGCCUU